rnacentral:tRNA from 1 species
GACUCGAUGAAGCGGGGUGGAGGAAUGGUCAACUCAUCAGGCUCAUGAUCUGAAGACUACAGGUUCGAAUCCUAUCCCCGCCUA